AGAUGUUGGGAAGAAAUGUGCUCUCAAGCACCAGAGGAUGAAUUGUAAUAUGUCUAAGCCAAUCUCAUUUCCCUGUCCAGUGAUUGGUUUGGGGGGACAUCCUGAAUCAUGUUUAGCUGAUGAGAUGGAGAGGAUGAGAAGUCAAGCAAUGUUGCAGCCACCUUGUAUGAGGGCACAAGCUGAGGACACAGUCAGUUCACCGAGGCAGAGAAAGCAGAAACGGGAGACCACCAUGUCCUUGCUGUUGUGGAGUCUUCUCCAGUGACCAGGAUGAGGGAACUUUGGUCCAGGGCUCCUAAAGAAGAGCCUGAGGCCAACCUGGAGAUCUAAUGCUUUAGUGGGAGGUGCAGCCCCAGGACAUCAAGAGCGAGAAAGAGGUAAGUGAGGUGUGGGAGACUGAGCAGCAAUCACCGAGCUGGUGGCUGCCUCACAGAGACGCGGCCAGUCACCUUAUCCCGUGGACUCUCUCCAGGCCAGCUGUGCAGAGAUCUGCUCCUCAAGGGAGUCCAGAAGAAGGCAAGGAGAGGCCAGUCACUGCCGGUCUCUCUUCUCCCCUGUCCCUGGGUGGUCAGAGUUCCGUCUCCAGGGCCGUACUGUGCCCAUCACCGCGGCUUCCUUUGCCUGGCUCCUCCCACAGUGGUUGAGGAAGCCAGAUCCCGCACUUGUUAUGGCCCCUUAUCUGAGUCCAGAAUUGGUGGAAGGAUCAAGAAACUUGGGGUGCUGGUCUCAGACAAUGUGUGGUGUAAGCCCUGAAAUGAAGGCGCCCUAUUAAGUACUGCCUGGACACCUUGGAGCUUCAUGGGGCCUCAGAGGCCUAACCAUGAGUCCCCUGCGCUAUCAGAUAUGCCCUCCACCCAGUGGGAAAUCUUUCCACCUGGCUGUUCCCCUAUCAGAGGCUAUUUCCUCUACCUGAUCUUCAACCUGACCGUUUUCACUUUCCCACAAGCCUGUGGAAUUAUCCAAACAAGACAGUCACAUCAUCCCCUGGGACCUAGGGGCCACCUCAUCCUUUCGUUACUACCAAGCCUGCCUACCACUCCCCCUGAUGGCUCAUUCUGUUCCCUAGUGCAGCCCCCAUGUGUAUCUGCAUGAGGUGAAGUGUCUGACA